UACGUAGGGUGCAAGCGUUGUCCGGAAUUAUUGGGCGUAAAGAGCUCGUAGGCGGUUUGUCGCGUCGAAUGUGAAAACCCGGGGCUCAACCCCGGGUCUGCAUUCGAUACGGGCAGACUAGAGUUCGGUAGGGGAGUCUGGAAUUCCUGGUGUAGCGGUGAAAUGCGCAGAUAUCAGGAGGAACACCGGUGGCGAAGGCGGGACUCUGGGCCGAUACUGACGCUGAGGAGCGAAAGCGUGGGGAGCGAACAGG
rnacentral:rRNA from 1 species